rnacentral:rRNA from 1 species
GGCGAACGGGUGAGUAAUGCGUGACCGACCUGCCCCAUGCACCGGAAUAGCUCCUGGAAACGGGUGGUAAUGCCGGAUGCUCCAUCACACCGCAUGGUGUGUUGGGAAAGCCUUUGCGGCAUGGGAUGGGGUCGCGUCCUAUCAGCUUGAUGGCGGGGUAACGGCCCACCAUGGCUUCGACGGGUAGCCGGCCUGAGAGGGCGACCGGCCACAUUGGGACUGAGAUACGGCCCAGACUCCUACGGGAGGCAGCAGUGGGGAAUAUUGCACAAUGGGCGCAAGCCUGAUGCAGCGACGCCGCGUGAGGGAUGGAGGCCUUCGGGUUGUAAACCUCUUUUGUUAGGGAGCAAGGCAUUUUGUGUUGAGUGUACCUUUCGAAUAAACACCGGCUAACUACGU